rnacentral:rRNA from 1 species
ACGUAGGCAGCGAGCGUUGUUCGGAGUUACUGGGCGUAAAGAGUGCGUAGGCGGUGACCUAAGUCUGGUGUGAAAUCUCCCGGCUCAACUGGGAGGGUGCGCCGGAAACUGGGUUGCUUGAGUGUGGGAGAGGUAAGCGGAAUUCCGAGUGUAGAGGUGAAAUUCGUAGAUAUUCGGAAGAACACCAGUGGCGAAGGCGGCUUACUGGACCGUUGUUGACGCUGAGGUGCGAAAGCGUGGGGAGCAAACAGGA